rnacentral:rRNA from 1 species
UACGUAGGGGGCAAGCGUUGUCCGGAUUUAUUGGGCGUAAAGAGCUCGUAGGCGGCUCGGUAAGUCCGCUGUGAAAGUCGAGGGCUCAACCCUCGAAUGCCGGUGGAUACUGUCGGGCUUGAGUACGGGAGAGGCGAGUGGAAUUCCUGGUGUAGCGGUGAAAUGCGCAGAUAUCAGGAGGAACACCGAUUGCGAAGGCAGCUCGCUGGAACGUUACUGACGCUGAGACGCGAAAGCGUGGGGAGCAAACAGG